ACGGGAGGCAGCAGUGGGGAAUAUUGGGCAAUGGGCGAAAGCCUGACCCAGCGACGCCGCGUGAAGGAAGACGGUCUUCGGAUUGUAAACUUCAGUCAACAGGGAAGAAGAAAGUGACGGUACCUGUGGAGGAAGCCACGGCUAACUACGUGCCAGCAGCCGCGGUAAUACGUAGGUGGCGAGCGUUAUCCGGAUUUACUGGGUGUAAAGGGUGUGUAGGCGGGGAAGCAAGUCAGAAGUGAAAACUAUGGGCUUAACUCAUAGCCUGCUUUUGAAACUGUUUUUCUUGAGAGUGGGAGAGGUAAAUGGAAUUCCCGGUGUAGCGGUGGAAUGCGUAGAUAUCGGGAGGAACACCAGUGGCGAAGGCGAUUUACUGGACCACAACUGACGCUGAGACACGAAAGCGUGGGGAGCAAACAGGAUUAGAUACCCUGGUA
rnacentral:rRNA from 1 species